rnacentral:rRNA from 1 species
GUGCCAGCAGCCGCGGUAAUACGGAGGGUGCAAGCGUUAAUCGGAAUUACUGGGCGUAAAGCGCGCGUAGGUGGCUUGAUAAGCCGGUUGUGAAAGCCCCGGGCUCAACCUGGGAACGGCAUCCGGAACUGUCAGGCUAGAGUGCAGGAGAGGAAGGUAGAAUUCCCGGUGUAGCGGUGAAAUGCGUAGAGAUCGGGAGGAAUACCAGUGGCGAAGGCGGCCUUCUGGACUGACACUGACACUGAGGUGCGAAAGCGUGGGUAGCAAACAGGAUUAGAUACCCUGGUAGUCCACGCCGUAAACGAUGUCGACCAGCCCGUUGGGUGCCUAGAGCACUUUGUGGCGAAGUUAACGCGAUAAGUCGACCGCCUGGGGAGUACGGCCGCAAGGUUAAAACUCAAAUGAAUUGACGG